GGCUCGUUGGUCUAGGGGUAUGAUUCUCGCCUUAGCGGUGUGAGAGGUCCCGGGUUCAAAUCCCGGAUGAGCCC